rfam:Myotis davidii contig47314, whole genome shotgun sequence.
UUGUGUGAUACUUUACUGCACAUAGUGUUAAUCAUAUGUGAUUAGAUGUGAUUAUCACCUGUGCCAGUAGAGUAACUCAUGA